rnacentral:tRNA from 1 species
GCCAGCAUGGCAUAGUAGUUUGAGUGUUGGAUUGCGACUCUGAAGAUCGGGGUUCGAUUCCUUGCUCAGCA